UACGGAGGGUGCAAGCGUUUAUCCGGAUUCACUGGGUUUAAAGGGUGCGUAGGCGGGUAGGUAAGUCAGUGGUGAAAUCUUCGAGCUUAACUCGGAAACUGCCUUUGAUACUAUCUAUCUUGAAUAUUGUGGAGGUAAGCGGAAUAUGUCAUGUAGCGGUGAAAUGCUUAGAUAUGACAUAGAACACCUAUUGCGAAGGCAGCUUACUACGCAUAUAUUGACGCUGAGGCACGAAAGCGUGGGGAUCAAACAGG
rnacentral:rRNA from 1 species